GGAAGUGAAAUGUGCUGUAGUUCCUGUAAAAGGUGGCUCCUUCCACCUCCGUAUUUUCCACUGCAGAACAGAAAGCGACGCCGAAACCGUAAACAAGCGUCGAGCCUGACGCCUUGUGACUCUCAACGCAAAGCAGGGAAACAGGUGAUGUUUAUAGAUCUUUACUUCCGCCCCUCCGACGUGACGACAUCAGGUGAGCAGGACCCAGCGAGGUGACCUAAUAUGGGCGGAGAGGAGCCGCCUGAGCAGGUAGACAGACGGAGAGACCCUUCGUGAAGAUCACAGCUUUAACAGAGGAACUAGAGGAAUAUACGACUUUACAGCGGAUUUAAACGGCCUGACAGCGGUGAAGAGACUAUUAUGGAAAUGCAAGAGGAAAACCAAAGGCCUGAGGACAGCCAGCUGAUUUCUGUCCCUCACAAGGAUACGAUCCGUCUGCUGGAGGUGUACGUCAAGCGCAGCCUCAGCCUGAACGACGGCUCGCUGGGAGAUAAGAGGGCCGGCAAGAAGGAGAAGUGGGUGACCAUGCCAAAAAGACAUCGGCGACAUUCCAGCGACCCGUCCCUUCACUUGGCCGAGGGGUUGAAUGACGGGGACAUCGGUGUGUUUUCUGUGGUUGAACCUCCGAAAAAUUUGCCCGAGACGUGUCCUGAAGAACCAGAAAAGCCCAAAAAGAAGAAAAAGAAGACCAAGAAACCCUCACUGUGGAAGAGUUUUGUUGGACUUUUCUCUCAGAAGAGCAGCAAGGACAAAGAGGACGACGAAGAGGAGGACAGCCCGCCAGAGAUGUCCGAGUCCACAGUCCCCACGACGCCCUUCCAGUCCACGACUCCGGUCACCUUACGCAAGAAAGCCAUGAAAAGGAAGUCCAUAAGAAGGAGGUUCUCAAAAAGACGGUUAUCUCUGAUAAAACCAAAUAAACCCGGUAAAGAUCUGAACCUCGAUGACAUCACUGGAGUGGAAGCUGUCAUCAGUGUGGAACCAACAUACUCUUAUUACGAGAAAGUGACAGAGGAGCUGGAAAAAAUAGUCCACGAGGUCAAAGAGGAAGCCAGACCUCUUUCAGAUGAGGAAGUAAUCGAAAGAAUCAUCGCUCUGACAAAGAAGCAGGGCGACGCCAUAGAUGAUAAGCUGAGAGACAACCCCACCCUGAACAACUUCUUCCAGCGGAUGACGUACUCUUCCUUCCAGAAGCUGGCCGAUGAUUACCUGCAGAAAGAAGCGUCGCCGACCCACAGUCCUCCCACCGUCCUCCCAACAGCACCGGAGCUGGUCAAACUGGCCUUCACGCUCGACUUCACGGCCAGGAUAGCCGGACUCUCCAGACAGAACGUCGGCCACAUCACUGGUCUGGGGAACCGAUAUCUACAGGACCGGUUUAAAUACAGUCAGGCCUGCACAGAUCACCCAUGGUCCGACAGUGAUGACUGAGAUGGCGGCGUGCAGAGACAAAGCUGCAAGUGAUGUCUUUCCUCUCAGUGCCACAGGGCGUUCCGUUUUUGUGCUGCGUUUGCACCCCUCGGCCACCGUACAGGGCUACACAUACAGACAAUCACACCCACUACUCAUCUACAGACAAUUUAGAAUCUCCAAUUAACCUGAGCCUGUUUCUGGACUGUGGUGGGAAGCCGUAGUACCCGGAAAAAACCCAAACAUGCACAGGAAGAACAUGCAAACUCCAUGCAGAAAGAUCCC
ensembl:lncRNA